GAACAGUGGUAGGAGAGCGUUCUAAGGGCUGUGAAGCCAGACCGGAAGGACUGGUGGAGCGCUUAGAAGUGAGAAUGCCGGUAUGAGUAGCGAAAGAGGGGUGAGAAUCCCCUCCACCGAAUGCCUAAGGUUUCCUGAGGAAGGCUCGUCCGCUCAGGGUUAGUCGGGACCUAAGCCGAGGCCGAAAGGCGUAGGCGAUGGACAACAGGUUGAUAUUCCUGUACCACCUCCUCACCAUUUGAGCAAUGGGGGGACGCAGGAGGAUAGGGUAAGCGCGGUAUUGGAUAUCCGCGUCCAAGCAGUUAGGCUGGGAAAUAGGCAAAUCCGUUUCCCAUAAGGCUGAGCUGUGAUGGCGAGCGAAAUAUAGUAGCGAAGUUCCUGAUUCCACACUGCCAAGAAAAGCCUCUAGCGAGGUGAGAGGUGCCCGUACCGCAAACCGACACAGGUAGGCGAGGAGAGAAUCCUAAGGUGAUCGAGAGAACUCUCGUUAAGGAACUCGGCAAAAUGACCCCGUAACUUCGGGAGAAGGGGUGCUCUGUUAGGGUGCAAGCCCGAGAGAGCCGCAGUGAAUAGGCCCAGGCGACUGUUUAGCAAAAACACAGGUCUCUGCGAAGCCGUAAGGCGAAGUAUAGGGGCUGACGCCUGCCCGGUGCUGGAAGGUUAAGAGGAGCGCUUAGCGUAAGCGAAGGUGCGAAUUGAAGCCCCAGUAAACGGCGGCCGUAACGAUAACGGUCCUAAGGUAGCGAAAUUCCUUGUCGGGUAAGUUCCGACCCGCACGAAAGGCGCAACGAUCUGGGCACUGUCUCAACGAGAGACUCGGUGAAAUUAUAGUACCUGUGAAGAUGCAGGUUACCCGCGACAGGACGGAAAGACCCCGUGGAGCUUUACUGCAGCCUGAUAUUGAAUGUUGGUACAGCUUGUACAGGAUAGGUAGGAGCCUUGGAAACCGGAGCGCCAGCUUCGGUGGAGGCAUCGGUGGGAUACUACCCUGGCUGUAUUGACCUUCUAACCCGCCGCCCUUAUCGGGCGGGGAGACAGUGUCAGGUGGGCAGUUUGACUGGGGCGGUCGCCUCCUAAAAGGUAACGGAGGCGCCCAAAGGUUCCCUCAGAAUGGUUGGAAAUCAUUCGCAGAGUGUAAAGGCACAAGGGAGCUUGACUGCGAGGCCUACAAGUCGAGCAGGGACGAAAGUCGGGCUUAGUGAUCCGGUGGUUCCGCAUGGAAGGGCCAUCGCUCAACGGAUAAAAGCUACCCCGGGGAUAACAGGCUUAUCUCCCCCAAGAGUCCACAUCGACGGGGAGGUUUGGCACCUCGAUGUCGGCUCAUCGCAUCCUGGGGCUGUAGUCGGUCCCAAGGGUUGGGCUGUUCGCCCAUUAAAGCGGUACGCGAGCUGGGUUCAGAACGUCGUGAGACAGUUCGGUCCCUAUCCGUCGCGGGCGCAGGAAAUUUGAGAGGAGCUGUCCUUAGUACGAGAGGACCGGGAUGGACGCACCGCUGGUGUACCAGUUGUUCUGCCAAGGGCAUCGCUGGGUAGCUAUGUGCGGACGGGAUAAGUGCUGAAAGCAUCUAAGCAUGAAGCCCCCCUCAAGAUGAGAUUUCCCAUUCCGCAAGGAAGUAAGAUCCCUGAAAGAUGAUCAGGUUGAUAGGUCUGAGGUGGAAGUGUGGCGACACAUGGAGCUGACAGAUACUAAUCGAUCGAGGACUUAACC
rnacentral:rRNA from 1 species